rnacentral:rRNA from 1 species
GAUCCUGGCUCAGGAUGAACGCUAGCGACAGGCCUAACACAUGCAAGUCGAGGGGCAGCAUGAAAUUAGCUUGCUAAUUUUGAUGGCGACCGGCGCACGGGUGAGUAACACGUAUGCAACCUGCCUGUAAGCGGGGGAUAACCCAGAGAAAUCUGGACUAAUACCGCAUAAUAUCAUAGUUUCGCAUGUUACUAUGAUUAAAGAUUUAUUGCUUACAGAUGGGCAUGCGUCUGAUUAGCUAGUUGGUGAGGUAACGGCCCACCAAGGCGACGAUCAGUAGCCGGACUGAGAGGUUGACCGGCCACAUUGGGACUGAGAUACGGCCCAGACUCCUACGGGAGGCAGCAGUGGGGAAUAUUGGGCAAUGGGCGCAAGCCUGACCCAGCAACGCCGCGUGAAGGAAGAAGGCUUUCGGGUUGUAAACUUCUUUUGUCAGGGACGAACAAAUGACGGUACCUGACGAAUAAGCCACGGCUAACUACGUG